rnacentral:rRNA from 1 species
AACAGGAUUAGAUACCCUGGUAGUCCACGCCCUAAACGAUGUCUACUAGUUGUCGGGUCUUAAUUGACUUGGUAACGCAGCUAACGCGUGAAGUAGACCGCCUGGGGAGUACGGUCGCAAGAUUAAAACUCAAAGGAAUUGACGGGGACCCGCACAAGCGGUGGAUGAUGUGGAUUAAUUCGAUGCAACGCGAAAAACCUUACCUACCCUUGACAUGUACAGAAUCCCGAAGAGAUUUGGGAGUGUUCGAAAGAAAACUGUAACACAGGUGCUGCAUGGCUGUCGUCAGCUCGUGUCGUGAGAUGUUGGGUUAAGUCCCGCAACGAGCGCAACCCUUGUCAUUAGUUGCUACGAAAGGGCACUCUAAUGAGACUGCCGGUGACAAACCGGAGGAAGGUGGGGAUGACGUCAAGUCCUCAUGGCCCUUAUGGGUAGGGCUUCACACGUCAUACAAUGGUACAUACAGAGGGCCGCCAACCCGCGAGGGGGAGCUAAUCCCAGAAAGUGUAUCGUAGUCCGGAUUGUAGUCUGCAACUCGACUACAUGAAGUUGGAAUCGCUAGUAAUCGCGGAUCAGCAUGUCGCGGUGAAUACGUUCCCGGGUCUUGUACACACCGCCCGUCACACCAUGGGAGCGGGUUUUACCAGAAGUAGGUAGCCUAACCGUAAGGAGGGCGCUUACCACGGUAGGAUUCGUGACUGGGGUGAAGUCGUAACAAGGUAACCGUA